CCUACGGGAGGCAGCAGUAGGGAAUCUUUCACAAUGGGCGAAAGCCUGAUGGAGCAACGCCGCGUGCAGGAUGAAGGCCUUCGGGUUGUAAACUGCUUUUAUAAGCGAGAAAUAUGAUGGUAACUUAUGAAUCCGGAUCGGCUAACUACGUGCCAGCAGCCGCGGUCAUACGUAGGAUCCGAGCAUUAUCCGGAGUGACUGGGUGUAAAGAGUUGCGUAGGUGGCAUAAUAAGUAGCUAGUGAAAUCUGGUGGCUCAACCAUUCAGACUAUUAGCUAAACUGUUAAGCUCGAGACCGUUAGGGGUAACUGGAAUUUCUAGUGUAGGAGUGAAAUCCGUAGAUAUUAGAAGGAACACCAAUAGCGUAGGCAGGUUGCUGGGACGGUUCUGACACUAAGGCACGAAAGCGUAGGGAGCAAACGGGAUUAGAUACCCGAGUAGUC
rnacentral:rRNA from 1 species